AUUGAACGCUGGCGGCAUGCCUUACACAUGCCAGUCGAACGGUAACAGGUCUUCGGAUGCUGACGAGUGGCGAACGGGUGAGUAGUACAUCGGAACGUGCCCGAUCGUGGGGGUUAACGAGGCGAAAGCUUUGCUAAUACAGCAUACGAUCUACGGAUGAAAGCGGGGGAUCGUCGGACCUCGUGCGGACGGAGCGGCCGAUGGCAGAUUAGGUAGUUGGUGGGAUAAAAGCUUACCAAGGCGACGAUCUGUAGCUGGUCUGAGAGGAUGAUCAGCCACACUGGGACUGAGACACGGCCCAGACUCCUACGGGAGGCAGCAGUGGGGAAUUUUGGACAAGGGGCGAAAGCCUGAUCCAGCCAUGCCGCGUGCAGGAUGAAGGCCUUCGGGUUGUAAACUGCUUUUGUUCGGAACGAAAAGCCUCUUUCUAAUAAAGAGGGGUCAUGACGGUACCGUAAGAAUAAGCACCGGCUAACUACGUG
rnacentral:rRNA from 1 species